CAGCAGCCGCGGGAAUACGUAGGUGGCAAGCGUUGUCCGGAAUUAUUGGGCGUAAAGGGCUCGCAGGUGGUUUCUUAAGUCUGAUGUGAAAGCCCCCGGCUCAACCGGGGAGGGUCAUUGGAAACUGGGAAACUUGAGUGCAGAAGAGGAGAGUGGAAUUCCACGUGUAGCGGUGAAAUGCGUAGAGAUGUGGAGGAACACCAGUGGCGAAGGCGACUCUCUGGUCUGUAACUGACGCUGAGGAGCGAAAGCGUGGGGAGCGAACAGGAUUAGAUACCCCUGUAGUCCCUGUCUCUUAUAC
rnacentral:rRNA from 1 species